rnacentral:rRNA from 1 species
UGAGAAUCUGCCAAAAGGACUGGGACAACAGCUGGAAACGGCUGCUAAUACCGGAUAUGCCAGAAAGUGAAAUGGGUAAAACCGCCUUUUGAUGAGCUCGCGUCCGAUUAGCUAGUUGGUGGGGUAAAAGCCUACCAAGGCGACGAUCGGUAACUGGUCUGAGAGGAUGACCAGUCACACUGGGACUGAGACACGGCCCAGACUCCUACGGGAGGCAGCAGUGGGGAAUUUUCCGCAAUGGGCGAAAGCCUGACGGAGCAAUACCGCGUGAGGGAGGAAGGCUCUUGGGUUGUAAACCUCUUUUCUCAGGGAAGAACACAAUGACGGUACCUGAGGAAUCAGCAUCGGCUAACUCCGUGCCAGCAGCCGCGGUAAUACGGAGGAUGCAAGCGUUAUCCGGAAUGAUUGGGCGUAAAGCGUCCGCAGGUGGCUUUGCAAGUCUGCUGUCAAAGCUCAGGGCUUAACCCUGAAUCGGCGGUGGAAACUGAAAGGCUAGAGUGUGGUAGGGGCAGAGGGAAUUCCCAGUGUAGCGGUGAAAUGCGUAGAGAUUGGGAAGAACACCAGUGGCGAAAGCGCUCUGCUAGACCGCAACUGACACUCAUGGACGA